CACACCCUCUCAGUCGGGCUGUCCAUCAGAGGCAGCCAGUAACUGUCACUUUGGGUGGGUGUCGGAAAUUCCUUCACCGGCCACCUGAUCCAUAUCAUCAAUCGAGACAUCUAAUACCUGAGUUUACUUACCAGUUCCUGGUUCCAGUAACUUUCCUAUAUCAUCGAUUCCAGGUCCUGUGUUCCUCCUGUCCCUAGCAGCCGCUGGAAGGCAGUUGCAGGUCCAGGAUUUAAUGCACCCUAGCAGCAAAAGGACAGACAGUUACUUACCAUCAGAAGCUGUGUUCAUAUCCAGUUAAUCCAUUCAUCUCUCAAGGAUCCAGAGGAGACCCACAAGGAAAAAAAAGAUGCAUGACACCACCAUUGCCACUGCUGUUUGCUGAAUGAGUUCCAAGAUUCUCAUCUCAAAGGAAUUACUAGGUUCUUAAUUUAGCUGUGUUCAAGAGCCAGCUAGACACAAAGAACAACUUUUAAUUCUCCUCCUAAGGGGAAAACAGGAUGGCAUACAGAAGAGUCAUUGCAAAGCUGAGCUUCCAGUUGCUGCCAAUAAGUACUUUUUUCUGCUGUAAUAGAGCUACUUUGGAACUGUUUCAAAGAACAGACCUUCAUCUCUGCUGUUUCCAGAGAACCCCAGAAUAAGAUACUGGAAUUAAGAAGUGAGGUGUGACUGGCAAAUGUUUAUCUACAUGCAGCAAUAACUAUGGAACUGUUGAGAUUAUUUCUGCCAUCAUUGCUACAAUUUCUGCUCUUUGCAACUACUAAAGAAGCUGUUCAGUCAGCAGAGAGGAUCAUCUUCUGAACAACCAACUAGAGGAACUAUUUUAUAAGAAAUUCAAUAAUAGCUAGGUACUAUAAGUCUCUGAUUCUUUUAGAUAUAAAAUAGGUUUGGUUUCUCCUAAAAUAAUCUUCAACACAGCUAAUUGAACAAAAACAAAAAAGCAAGCAGAUUUUUGAUUAAGGAUUAAAUUUUAGGAUACAGGAAAUAAGAGGUAGGGACAAUUUCUGAGCAGGUUUUAAUCACAGUUUAGAAAACAGUGCUGACUAUGGUUCAUCUAAGACUACUUUUGCAGGAAAGCUACAUCCAGUGCCAGUUCCACUGGGCCUGCUGCAGAUACCUGUUUUCAGCAGGUAAUUUUCUUAGUACAGGCAAAACUUGGAUAUUUUUUAGAAGAUUCUGCAUUUGGGUCUGAAUGAUCUUUCCCUCCUGCCCACUUUCUCUUAGAGAUAGUUAAAUAAUGGAAACUUUAUUUGGAAAAAAAAGCUAAAUUUUUCAGUCAGUUAUUCAACCAGCUCUGCUCCAUACAAAGCAUGAAUUGAACUGGGGACUGUAUUAUCCUUGGGGUGGAAUUUCUUCAGGGCCAAUGUUGGAAUGAUAUGUCCCCUGCAACCUUACCUAUUCCUUCCCAUCCUGUCUUCUCUCCCCAUAUGGUUCCCUGGACACAUGAAGAGAACCCUGCAGAAUCCAAGCAAAGAUCAAAUGUUGUCUUAAAACUGGCCACUUUCUUUCAUUUGGAAGGAGGUGAUUUUUGCAUGGAGGAGCCCCUCCACACACACACAUCUUGGUGGUUUGAUCUAGUCCUUCUGUGUUUAAUUUGUUUGGUAUUGGACUAGCAAAUAUUUUGACUUUUUCACUGUUAUCCCACAUUCUCAGAUUCCCUGUGUUUCAAAAAUUUGAGCACUUCCAGGAUUUUUCCUUAUUUUGGCUACUUCUGAUGGAAAAAAUGAUAACAUGAAAUGGUAGAGCAUGGAAGUAAAUGUAGACUGAUAAUAGUGCCCACUCACAAAUGAGCAUUCUGUAUAUGUGUGUGCUGCUUAUGCUGUGCAGACAUGCUCCUGCACUGGGUUUUGGGGAGCUCACUCACCAAAGACAUGAGAUUUAGCUCCCCACUUUCUCCAGAAGAGAGUGGCUGUUGUAUUAAUUUAGAUGGCAUAUAAGGGUCAAA